rnacentral:rRNA from 1 species
CCUACGGGAGGCAGCAGUGGGGAAUAUUGCACAAUGGGGGAAACUCUGAUGCAGCGACGCCGCGUGAGGGAAGAAGUAUUUCGGUAUGUAAACUUCUAUCAGCAGGGAAGAAAAUGACUGAAACUGACAAAGAAACACUGGCUAACUACGUUACAGGAGCCGCGGGAAUAAGUAGGGGGCAAGCGUUAUCCGGAUUUACUGGGUGUAAAGGGUGAGUAGGGUGUUUUGGAAGUCAGAAGGGAAAGCCCGGGGCUCAACUCUGAGACUGCUUUUGAAACUGUUGACCUUGAUUGCAGGAGAGGUAAGUGGAAUUCCUGGUGGAGCGGUGAAAUGCGUAGAUAGUAGGAGGAACACCGGUGGCGAAGGCGGCUUACUGGCCUGUAAAUGACGCUGAGGCUCGAAAGCGUGGGGAGCAAACAGGAUUAGAUACCCUGGUAGUC